rnacentral:rRNA from 1 species
GACGAACGCUGGCGGCGUGCCUAAUACAUGCAAGUCGAGCGAAUGAAUGGGAGCUUGCUCCCUGACAUUAGCGGCGGACGGGUGAGUAACACGUGGGCAACCUGCCCUGCAGAUGGGGAUAACUCCGGGAAACCGGGGCUAAUACCGAAUAAUCAGUUCCUCCGCAUGGAGGAACUCUGAAAGACGGUUUCGGCUGUCACUGCAGGAUGGGCCCGCGGCGCAUUAGCUAGUUGGUGGGUAAUGGCCUACCAAGGCAACGACGGGUAGCUGGUCUGAGAGGAUGGCCAGCCACAUUGGGACUGAGACACGGCCCAGACUCCUACGGGAGGCAG